rnacentral:rRNA from 1 species
UUGGAAAAGUAUUUGUCGUAACAAGGUUUCCGUACGCGAACCUGCGGAAGGAUCAUUA